rnacentral:rRNA from 1 species
GACGAACGCUGGCGGCGUGCUUAACACAUGCAAGUCGAACGGUGAAGGGACCGGUUUUUGCUGGUUCUGGAUGAGUGGCGAACGGGUGAGUAACACGUGAGUAACCUGCCCCCUUCUUCUGGAUAACCGCAUGAAAGUGUGGCUAAUACGGGAUAUUCUGCGCCUGCUGCAUGGUGGGUGUGGGAAAGAUAUUGUUUCGGUGGGGGAUGGGCUCGCGGCCUAUCAGCUUGUUGGUGGGGUGAUGGCCUACCAAGGCGGUGACGGGUAGCCGGCCUGAGAGGGUGGACGGUCACACUGGGACUGCGACACGGCCCAGACUCCUACGGGAGGCAGCAGUGGGGAAUAUUGCACGAUGGGCGCAAGCCUGAUGCAGCGACGCCGCGUGAGGGAUGGAGGCCUUCGGGUUGUAAACCUCUUUCGCCAGUGAAGCAGGCCUGUCCCUUUUGUGGGUGGGUUGACGGUAGCUGGAUAAGAAGCGCCGGCUAACUACGUG